rnacentral:rRNA from 1 species
CUGGCUCAGGAUGAACGCUAGCUACAGGCUUAACACAUGCAAGUCGAGGGGCAGCAUGGGAUUAGCUUGCUAAUCCUGAUGGCGACCGGCGCACGGGUGAGUAACGCGUAUCCAACCUUCCCCCUGCUCAGGGAUAGCCCGCUGAAAGGCGGAUUAACACCUGAUAGCUUCACUAGAUGGCAUCUGACGGUGAAUAAAGAUAACGGCAAGGGAUGAGGAUGCGUCUGAUUAGCUUGUUGGCGGGGUAACGGCCCACCAAGGCAACGAUCAGUAGGGGUUCUGAGAGGAAGGUCCCCCACAUUGGAACUGAGACACGGUCCAAACUCCUACGGGAGGCAGCAGUGAGGAAUAUUGGUCAAUGGGCGGAAGCCUGAACCAGCCAAGUAAGCGUGCAGGAUGACGGCCCUAUGGGUUGUAAACUGCUUUUGUACGGGAAUAAAGUGACCUACGUGUAGGUUUUUGCAUGUACCGUAAGAAUAAGGACCGGCUAAUUCCGUGCCAGCCGCGGC